GGAGAGUUGGCUGAGUGGUCGAAAGCGCCUCACUGCUAACGAGGUAGGGGCUUUAAAACCCCUCGAGGGUUCGAAUCCCUCACUCUCCG
rnacentral:tRNA from 1 species